GCCGCCGGCCCGCCCUCCCCGUCACGUGCCGGGGGCGCGCACUGGGUGCACGAUGAUGGUGGCGGCGGCGUCCGGCGGCGGCGGGUAGAAAAUGGCGGAUUUCGAGGAGCUGCGGAAUAUGGUAUCAAGUUUUCGUGUUUCUGAACUGCAAGUGUUACUGGGGUUUGCUGGACGUAACAAAAGUGGGCGCAAACAUGACCUCCUGAUGAGGGCUCUGCACUUAGUGAAAAGCGGCUGCAGCCCGGCAGUUCAGAUCAAAAUCCGAGAACUCUAUAGGCGACGGUACCCCAGGACGAUCGAGGGACUUUCAGAUUUGUCGGCAAUAAAACCUACGGCUUUCAACUUGGACAGUAGUUCCUCUCCUGUGGAGCCUGACCUGGCCGUUUCUGGCAUUCACACACUCCCUUCCACUUCGGUCACGCCUCAGUCUCCUUCCUCGCCUGUCAGAUCCGUGCUCCUCCAAGACACUAAGUCCCACUUUGAGAUGCAGCAGCCGUCCCCUCCAAUCCCACCCGUUCAUCCUGAUGUUCAGCUGAAAAGCUUGCCUUUCUAUGAUGUACUUGAUGUGCUCAUAAAACCCACGAGUCUAGUACAGAGCAGUAUUCAGCGAUUCCAGGAGAAGUUUUUUAUCUUUGCUUUAACACCUCAGCAAGUCAGAGAAAUCUGUAUUUCCAGGGACUUUUUGCCUGGAGGCAGGAGAGAUUACACAGUCCAAGUUCAGCUAAGGUUAUGCCUAGCAGAGACAAGCUGCCCUCAAGAAGACAAUUAUCCAAAUAGUUUGUGUAUUAAAGUAAAUGGGAAGCUUUUUCCAUUGCCGGGAUAUGCUCCUCCACCAAAAAAUGGAAUUGAACAGAAGCGACCCGGCCGUCCCUUGAAUAUCACAUCUCUAGUUAGGCUGUCGUCAGCAGUGCCAAACCAGAUUUCCAUUUCCUGGGCCUCUGAAAUUGGAAAGAGUUACUCCAUGUCUGUGUAUCUCGUCCGUCAGCUCACUUCAGCUAUGCUUUUGCAGAGGUUAAAACUGAAAGGUAUCAGAAACCCCGACCAUUCCAGAGCACUAAUUAAAGAAAAGCUAACUGCAGAUCCUGAUAGUGAGAUUGCUACAACCAGUCUGCGGGUAUCUCUGAUGUGUCCUCUGGGAAAAAUGAGACUGACAAUCCCCUGCCGGGCUGUGACUUGCACACACCUGCAAUGUUUUGAUGCUGCUCUUUAUCUUCAAAUGAAUGAAAAGAAGCCUACCUGGAUCUGCCCUGUCUGUGACAAAAAGGCAGCUUAUGAGAGCCUAAUACUAGAUGGGCUCUUUAUGGAAAUUCUUAAUGAAUGUUCAGAUGUGGAUGAGAUCAAAUUCCAAGAAGAUGGCUCCUGGUGCCCCAUGAGGCCAAAGAAAGAAGCUGUGAAAGUCUCAAGUUCUCAAUGUACCAAAAUAGAAAGUUCCAGUGUUGUUAGCAAACCCUGUCCUGUGACAGUGGCCAGUGAGGUUAACAAGAAGAAAGUUGACGUUAUCGACCUGACAACAGAAAGCUCUUCUGAUGAAGAGGAAGAUCCUCCUGCCAAAAGGAAGUGCAUAUUCAUGUCUGAAAUACAAGGGAGUCCAACCAAAGGGGUUCUCAUGUACCAGCCAUCCACUGCCAGAGUGCCCAGCGUGACGACGGUCGAUGCUGUUGCAAUUCCUCCUUCAUUAACAGAGUACCCAGUACCAUUCCAUCACCCACCAAUAUCCAGUAUUUCAUCGGACUUGCCAGACAUACCCUAAAUGCCUAUGAUGUAUUCUUCAACACUGCUGCUAAAUAUCAGACAAAAGGUCUGGAUUUUCUUUCGCUAAUCCCAGUUGAUUCACAGUACUGUCCUCCUAUGUUUUUGGAUAGUCUCACCUCAACCUUAACAAGCAGCACGCCUGGCAGCAUCAUCACCUCAGCCAGCCACCAGGAGAGCAGCACGCUCGUUAGCUCCUCCGGCAGGGCCGAGCCCGAGGCCGGGGUGAUAACCAGCAGCAGCAACAGCAGUGCUCCUGACAUCAUCUCCCUGGACAUCAUCUCCCUGGACUGACACUCGGGGCAACACUGGACUCCUGCAGGCAUUGCACAGAGCUGCAGCUCCUCCCUCUGGAACUCCAGCGUCAUCACCCCGGAGGUCAUCCUGGUGUUUAUUUUGAAAGGAUUUCCCUUCUGGAAAGGGGGGGUAAAUUUGUUGUUGCCAGGAGACAGAAGCGAUAGAUUGGAUGGUUGGUUUUGGUUUUUUUUUUUUUUUUUCCCCUGCUCAUUAAGUAGCUGGUGUAGAAAAGGCCCUUGGAGAACAUGUGUUUAUGUUUUUGGUUUGUUCUGGGAGCACUGCCUUUUUCUUGCUAGGUGGAUUCCAUAAAUGUUUUCUAAUUUGGUUGUAAGAAACAGCAAUAAUGUAAAAAUUAAUAAGGUUGUGUUUUUUUUUUUUUAAUAAAUAAAGAAACUUAAUCACUCUAGAACAACAACCUGGAUAAAGGUGCAGAAGUGUAUGAGUUAGUGAAUUCUUAAUAUUUUCACUGGGGCCUGUAAUAAACUUCAUUAAGACAAUGAAGCUUUGAAAUAGCCAUGAUGUGUUGUUUGUCUUGUUUCCCACCUCCCCCUUACCUGGGGAUAUAUAAGAAACCUCUGUAAAUGGGAUUGUUUGGGGGGGUUUUUUCCUAAUUUCAUGUCUUUCUCAAAUGCAACAAAAUCCUAGGCUGUGACUUCUUCCUCUUUUGUGUUCUUUGGGCUGGGAAGGGGACAGACUAUCUAUGCAAACCCUGAAUUACACAGUCUCUGUGCUGCCAUGUCGGAAUCAGGACACAUCCCCAUCACAAAAACUCCAACUAUGCAGUUGAGAGUACAGUUGCUUUCUGUGCCAGCUGUAAGGAGAUAAAAUGGGAAUUAGUUUCUCAAGUGCAGAUGUAUUUGCAAGGAUUUCUUGCUCAUGGUUUCUGUCACUUCAGUAACUGCUGUAUCCCGCAUGGGAAUACUGCACUUAGACUGUGGGGGAGGCUUGGCUUUUUGGAAGGCAGAAGCUGCACAAUGUCCCCACCUAAUUGGAAUUAUGUGUUUAGGGCUCAAUGAUGCUUUGUCCCAUGUUUCCUGGCCUCCUGAUUGUUGCUUUUCUACUUCAAAGGGAACAAUUUCCUCCUGUUUUACUCCUCCAAGUGUGCUGCUUUGUUCGUGUGUGUGCAGUGUCUGCCAUACACCUGGGGAUAACCUCAGCAGUACUGUAUGUGGAAGAGGUUACAGACUAGGAAAAACAAGUCAUUUCCAUAGAGCUGGAAUAAUGGUAUUGUCUAUGUAUGCUGACAUAGCAGCUUUUCCAAGUGGUGUGUUUCUGUUGAAUAAAUGUAUUUGAGAUUAUUCCUUCCCUAAUGUGAAGGUUUCACUUUUUUUCCUAAUUUUAUGUUCCUCUUUCGUUAUUUCUUUAAUUGGAUGUCUGGUGCUUUUUGCUCUCCAUUGCUGUUACAGUAUUGAACGAAGUACAUGGAUGAGAAAUAUUGAAGCAGAAUGUUUUGUAACUCUUGUCUGCCCUGUACUCCCACCUUUAAUGCUGCAUUACUGUUCCUUAUUGCCUUUUUUGUAUGAUAUUUCACAGCAGUCUUGAGUUCACAUGUUGGUCUUAAUAGUGCAUCUAGUCUUUUUUUCUUCUCCUUAUCUGUUUAAUUUUUUGUACCUGUUAAGGAUCAGUUUUUAGCAUGAUUUAUUUCCUAUAAAACCAUGCUUCUCAGGAAGUUUUUCCUGAUGGCCUGCAGCAGAUCAGUGCUUUCUACAUCACCAUUGCACAGUGACUUGACCUGUAAGUAGAGUGUGGAGAGGGGCUCCAAAAUAAAGCAUUUAAAACUGGU